rnacentral:tmRNA from 1 species
GUUGUGGACGAAGCGGCUAAAACUUACACAACUCGCCCAAAGCACCCUGCCCUUCGGGUCGCUGAGGGUUAACUUAAUAGAAACGGCUACGCAUGUAGUACCGACAGCGGAGUACUGGCGGACGGGGGUUCAAAUCCCCCCGGCUCCACCA